AGCGAACGCUGGCGGCAGGCUUAACACAUGCAAGUCGAGCGGGCCCUUCGGGGUCAGCGGCGGACGGGUGAGUAACGCGUGGGAACGUGCCUUCUGGUCUGGAAUAACCCUGGGAAACUAGGGCUAAUACCGGAUACGCCCUUUUGGGGAAAGGUUUACUGCCGGAAGAUCGGCCCGCGUCUGAUUAGCUAGUUGGUGGGGUAACGGCCUACCAAGGCGACGAUCAGUAGCUGGUCUGAGAGGAUGAUCAGCCACACUGGGACUGAGACACGGCCCAGACUCCCACGGGAGGCAGCAGGGGGGAAUAUUGGACAAGGGGCGAGAGCCUGAUCCAGCCGGGCCGGGGGAGUGAUGAAGGCCUUAGGGUUGUAAAGCUCUUUUAUCCGGGACGAUAAUGAGGGGACCGGAGAAAAAAGCCCCGCCAAACUUCGU
rnacentral:rRNA from 1 species